AGAGUUUGAUCCUGGCUCAGAUUGAACGCUGGCGGCAUGCCUUACACAUGCAAGUCGAACGGCAGCACGGGAGCUUGCACCUGGUGGCGAGUGGCGAACGGGUGAGUAAUAUAUCGGAACGUACCCUAGAGUGGGGGAUAACGUAGCGAAAGUUACGCUAAUACCGCAUACGAUCUACGGAUGAAAGUGGGGGAUCGCAAGACCUCAUGCUCAUGGAGCGGCCGAUAUCUGAUUAGCUAGUUGGUGGGGUAAAAGCCUACCAAGGCGACGAUCAGUAGCUGGUCUGAGAGGACGACCAGCCACACUGGAACUGAGACACGGUCCAGACUCCUACGGGAGGCAGCAGUGGGGAAUUUUGGACAAUGGGGGCAACCCUGAUCCAGCAAUGCCGCGUGAGUGAAGAAGGCCUUCAGGUUGUAAAGCUCUUUUGUCAGGGAAGAAACGGGAUUUUCUAAUACAAAGUCCUAAUGACGGUACCUGAAGAAUAAGCACCGGCUAACUACGUGCCAGCAGCCGCGGUAAUACGUAGGGUGCAAGCGUUAAUCGGAAUUACUGGGCGUAAAGCGUGCGCAGGCGGUUGUGCAAGACAGAUGUGAAAUCCCCGGGCUCAACCUGGGAAUUGCAUUUGUGACUGCACGGCUAGAGUGUGUCAGAGGGGGGUAGAAUUCCACGUGUAGCAGUGAAAUGCGUAGAGAUGUGGAGGAAUACCGAUGGCGAAGGCAGCCCCCUGGGAUAACACUGACGCUCAUGCACGAAAGCGUGGGGAGCAAACAGGAUUAGAUACCCUGGUAGUCCACGCCCUAAACGAUGUCUACUAGUUGUCGGGUCUUAAUUGACUUGGUAACGCAGCUAACGCGUGAAGUAGACCGCCUGGGGAGUACGGUCGCAAGAUUAAAACUCAAAGGAAUUGACGGGGACCCGCACAAGCGGUGGAUGAUGUGGAUUAAUUCGAUGCAACGCGAAAAACCUUACCUACCCUUGACAUGUACGGAACUUACCAGAGAUGGUUUGGUGCUCGAAAGAGAACCGUAACACAGGUGCUGCAUGGCUGUCGUCAGCUCGUGUCGUGAGAUGUUGGGUUAAGUCCCGCAACGAGCGCAACCCUUGUCAUUAGUUGCUACGAAAGGGCACUCUAAUGAGACUGCCGGUGACAAACCGGAGGAAGGUGGGGAUGACGUCAAGUCCUCAUGGCCCUUAUGGGUAGGGCUUCACACGUCAUACAAUGGUACAUACAGAGGGCCGCCAACCCGCGAGGGGGAGCUAAUCCCAGAAAGUGUAUCGUAGUCCGGAUUGUAGUCUGCAACUCGACUACAUGAAGUUGGAAUCGCUAGUAAUCGCGGAUCAGCAUGUCGCGGUGAAUACGUUCCCGGGUCUUGUACACACCGCCCGUCACACCAUGGGAGCGGGUUUCACCAGAAGUAGGUAGCCUAACCGCAAGGAGGGCGCUUACCACGGUGGGAUUCGUGACUGGGGUGAAGUCGUAACAAGGUA
rnacentral:rRNA from 1 species